GAUGAACGCUGGCGGCGUGCCUAAUACAUGCAAGUCGAGCGAACAGAUAAGGAGCUUGCUCCUUUGACGUUAGCGGCGGACGGGUGAGUAACACGUGGGUAACCUACCUAUAAGACUGGAAUAACUCCGGGAAACCGGGGCUAAUGCCGGAUAACAUUUAGAACCGCAUGGUUCUAAAGUGCAAGAUGGUUUUGCUAUCACUUAUAGAUGGACCCGCGCCGUAUUAGCUAGUUGGUAAGGUAACGGCUUACCAAGGCAACGAUACGUAGCCGACCUGAGAGGGUGAUCGGCCACACUGGAACUGAGACACGGUCCAGACUCCUACGGGAGGCAGCAGUAGGGAAUCUUCCGCAAUGGGCGAAAGCCUGACGGAGCAACGCCGCGUGAGUGAUGAAGGUCUUCGGAUCGUAAAACUCUGUUAUUAGGGAAGAACAAAUGUGUAAGUAACUGUGCACGUCUUGACGGUACCUAAUCAGAAAGCCACGGCUAACUACGUG
rnacentral:rRNA from 1 species